GUCUACGGCCAUGCCCCGCUGAACAAGUCUGAUCUUGGAAGCUAAGCAGGGUUGGGGCUGGUUAGUACUUAGGAGACUUCCUAGAUGGGAGACAACCUAGGAAGACCAGGUGCUGUAGGCG
rnacentral:rRNA from 1 species